rnacentral:misc_RNA from 1 species
CGAACGUCCAGAUGCACGGGACCAUGCCGUAGCGGACGUGCGCCAGCGCCGUGGCGACGGUGAGCCCGGCCCACGCGAAGGUGUCGUUGAUGAGGGACGCCGAGAUGGAGAGCUGGCCCACGUCGGUGCCGGCGAGCUUGAGCUCCGCGAUGUUGCGCGCAAGCACGGAGAAGGCGGUGGAGCAGAAAGUGGCGCCAAGGAAGACGGGGAAGGAGAGGCGGUUGAGGAACUUCUGCUCGGCCUUGGCGGCCGUCGUCGUUGUUCCGCCGCUGUCGUCGUCGCUGCCGGUGAGCGCGACGUAGCCUGUGACGAUGCCGACGACGAAGGGCGGGAGCGCGGAGGCGGCGGCGAACCAGAAGCUGCGCAAUCCCGAGCGGAGGACGGUGUGGAGCUCGAUCUCGACGCCGAUAGUGAAGGUGUAGUAGACGAGGCCGAUGAGGGACAUGGACUCGAGGAUGAAGAUGCUGCGGACUGGGAAGGCGAUGUCGGAGAAGAGUGGGACGCGGCCCAGCACGGAGGGACCCAAGAGGAAGCCCGCCAGGAUCUCGGCGAUGUAUCGCGGGAGGCGGAGCGGCGCCAGCAGCAGCGCCACGGCGCGUGUGGUGGCGGUGAUGAGGAUGAUCUGGAAGAGGAGGAGCGGGAGGGCGAAGUCCAGCGGGUUGUCCCCCGUCCAGAUGCCUUUCAUGGUGAUCUUCCUCGGGUCGAAGCAGUAGAGGUCCGACCGGCCCGUCGACAUCGUGUGGUUCCACAGCUCCGCCAGCGGGUCGGUUACCGUCGUCGCCGCCAUCGAUCCUCCGCCGUUCGGUUCGCUCGUGGGCCGGUAGAUCGAUUGUUAGCUCCUUCGUCGCCGCCGGCGAUGAUGGCUGAUGUGACGGUCGGUCACUGGUGGACGUACGCGCCGCGCCGGGGAUAGAUGGUGGAGAAACACGUGUGGGGUGCCGAGUGAUCCAUGGGAGCGAGGAGACGAGGAGCUGUUAUUCUUGGACGGAACUCUGCUUGUUGCAUUGCAUUUGCAUGCACUCGUGCAUGACUGGUGGUUGUGAGCUCGACCUCCACGUGUGGCUGGUAUGUAGGGCCAGAUUUUACUACGAAUUUUGCAUCUUCAUGAAUUUGCUAAAGCUGCGGGUAUUCAUAGCUCUAUUAAACAUUUUGUUUAUCAGUUAUUA